rnacentral:rRNA from 1 species
CUGGGCGUUAAGUUGCAGGGUAUAGACCCGAAACCCGGUGAUCUAGCCAUGGGCAGGUUGAAGGUUGGGUAACACUAACUGGAGGACCGAACCGACUAAUGUUGAAAAAUUAGCGGAUGACUUGUGGCUGGGGGGGAAAGGCCAAUCAAACCGGGAGAUAGCUGGUUCUCCCCGAAAGCUAUUUAGGUAGCGCCUCGUGAAUUCAUCUCCGGGGGUAGAGCACUGUUUCGGCAAGGGGGUCAUCCCGACUUACCAACCCGAUGCAAACUGCGAAUACCGGAGAAUGUUAUCACGGGAGACACACGGCGGGUGCUAACGUCCGUCGUGAAGAGGGAAACAACCCAGACCGCCAGCUAAGGUCCCAAAGUCAUGGUUAAGUGGGAAACGAUGUGGGAAGGCCCAGACAGCCAGGAUGUUGGCUUAGAAGCAGCCAUCAUUUAAAGAAAGCGUAAUAGCUCACUGGUCGAGUCGGCCUGCGCGGAAGAUGUAACGGGGCUAAACCAUGCACCGAAGCUGCGGCAGCGACGCUUAUGCGUUGUUGGGUAGGGGAGCGUUCUGUAAGCCUGCGAAGGUGUGCUGUGAGGCAUGCUGGAGGUAUCAGAAGUGCGAAUGCUGACAUAAGUAACGAUAAAGCGGGUGAAAAGCCCGCUCGCCGGAAGACCAAGGGUUCCUGUCCAACGUUAAUCGGGGCAGGGUGAGUCGACCCCUAAGGCGAGGCCGAAAGGCGUAGUCGAUGGGAAACAGGUUAAUAUUCCUGUACUUGGUGUUACUGCGAAGGGGGGACGGAGAAGGCUAUGUUGGCCGGGCGACGGUUGUCCCGGUUUAAGCGUGUAGGCUGGUUUUCCAGGCAAAUCCGGAAAAUCAAGGCUGAGGCGUGAUGACGAGGCACUACGGUGCUGAAGCAACAAAUGCCCUGCUUCCAGGAAAAGCCUCUAAGCAUCAGGUAACAUCAAAUCGUACCCCAAACCGACACAGGUGGUCAGGUAGAGAAUACCAAGGCGCUUGAGAGAACUCGGGUGAAGGAACUAGGCAAAAUGGUGCCGUAACUUCGGGAGAAGGCACGCUGAUAUGUAGGUGAAGUCCCUCGCGGAUGGAGCUGAAAUCAGUCGAAGAUACCAGCUGGCUGCAACUGUUUAUUAAAAACACAGCACUGUGCAAACACGAAAGUGGACGUAUACGGUGUGACGCCUGCCCGGUGCCGGAAGGUUAAUUGAUGGGGUUAGCGCAAGCGAAGCUCUUGAUCGAAGCCCCGGUAAACGGCGGCCGUAACUAUAACGGUCCUAAGGUAGCGAAAUUCCUUGUCGGGUAAGUUCCGACCUGCACGAAUGGCGUAAUGAUGGCCAGGCUGUCUCCACCCGAGACUCAGUGAAAUUGAACUCGCUGUGAAGAUGCAGUGUACCCGCGGCAAGACGGAAAGACCCCGUGAACCUUUACUAUAGCUUGACACUGAACAUUGAGCCUUGAUGUGUAGGAUAGGUGGGAGGCUUUGAAGUGUGGACGCCAGUCUGCAUGGAGCCGACCUUGAAAUACCACCCUUUAAUGUUUGAUGUUCUAACGUGGACCCGUAAUCCGGGUUGCGGACAGUGUCUGGUGGGUAGUUUGACUGGGGCGGUCUCCUCCUAAAGAGUAACGGAGGAGCACGAAGGUUGGCUAAUCCUGGUCGGACAUCAGGAGGUUAGUGCAAUGGCAUAAGCCAGCUUGACUGCGAGCGUGACGGCGCGAGCAGGUGCGAAAGCAGGUCAUAGUGAUCCGGUGGUUCUGAAUGGAAGGGCCAUCGCUCAACGGAUAAAAGGUACUCCGGGGAUAACAGGCUGAUACCGCCCAAGAGUUCAUAUCGACGGCGGUGUUUGGCACCUCGAUGUCGGCUCAUCACAUCCUGGGGCUGAAGUAGGUCCCAAGGGUAUGGCUGUUCGCCAUUUAAAGUGGUACGCGAGCUGGGUUUAGAACGUCGUGAGACAGUUCGGUCCCUAUCUGCCGUGGGCGCUGGAGAACUGAGGGGGGCUGCUCCUAGUACGAGAGGACCGGAGUGGACGCAUCACUGGUGUUCGGGUUGUCAUGCCAAUGGCACUGCCCGGUAGCUAAAUGCGGAAGAGAUAAGUGCUGAAAGCAUCUAAGCACGAAACUUGCCCCGAGAUGAGUUCUCCCUGACUCCUUGAGAGUCCUGAAGGAACGUUGAAGACGACGACGUUGAUAGGCCGGAUGUGUAAGCGCAGCGAUGCGUUGAGCUAACCGGUACUAAUGAACCGUGAGGCUUAACCUU